UGUUUCGACUUGCUGCGGACAAAUCCAGUGGAUAUGUGUGUCUAUUCCCCCUGCUGUUAAUAUUUGCCCUUCACCCGCAAUAACUUCAGUUGCCGCACCUAGUGGAAUGGUAAUAUCUGGCUGAAUAUCAGGAUUACCUGCUUUGCCUAUCUUCCAGAUUCUACCAUUUUUUAAGCCAACAUCUGCUUUGAUAAUUCCCCACCAAUCGACAAUCAAAGCAUUGGUAAUCACGGUAUCAGCAACCUGAUCUGCCAACAGUUGUGACUGCCCCAUACCAUCACG
rnacentral:sRNA from 1 species